rnacentral:rRNA from 1 species
AUGGACUUCGAUACGCUGAACUCUCACCCGGAGGCGCAGCUGGAGCUGAUGAACGCAAUGCUGCAGCUAGAGCAGCUCACCGCGCUCCCUGACCACGCCAUGCCGGUGACCCCUUCUCCAUGCACGCAAGCCCCUCGUCACCAGUUCUCCUCGGCGCCUCACACGGCGAGCGCCAACGCCGGCGGGGCCUACCACGACCCGUAUUCCCAGCUGCUGAACUCCGCCCCCUACAACGGCAGCCACCGUCGCUCCGAGUACACGGCGACGUCGCAGCCUCCACCCGAUGGCGCUGGCGCCACGGGGCCGGCGGCCAUGCGGGAGAUGAUCUUCCGCAUCGCGGCGCUGCAGCCGGUGAACAUCGACCCGGACACGGUGCGCCCGCCGAAGCGCCGCAACGUGCGCAUCUCGACGGACCCGCAGAGCGUGGCGGCGAGGAUGCGGCGGGAGCGCAUCAGCGAGCGCAUCCGCAUCCUGCAGCGCCUCGUCCCGGGCGGGACCAAGAUGGACACCGCGUCCAUGCUGGACGAGGCCAUCCACUACGUCAAGUUCCUCAAGACGCAGGUGCAGUCCCUGGAGCGCGCGGCGGCGGCCAACGGCCACCGCGCGCCGCCCAACGGCGCAGCCGCCGCCGAGGCCUACCAGGGCCUGAACGGGCCGUGGUAA